AGUGAACGCUGGCGGCGUGCUUAAUACAUGCAAGUCGAACGAUGAAGUCCUAGCUUGCUAGGAUGGAUUAGUGGCGCACGGGUGAGUAAUAUAUAGUUAAUCUGCCUUGCACUGAGGAACAACAGUUGGAAACGAUUGCUAAUACCUCAUACUCCAACUUUACAUAAGUUAAGUUGGGAAAGUCUUUUCGGUGCAAGAUGAGACUAUAUCGUAUCAGCUAGUUGGUAAGGUAAUGGCUUACCAAGGCUAUGACGCGUAACUGGUCUGAGAGGAUGAUCAGUCACAUUGGAACUGAGACACGGUCCAAACUCCUACGGGAGGCAGCAGUAAGGAAUAUUGUGUAAUGGGGGAAACCCUGACGCAGCAACGCCGCGUGGAGGAUGACACUUUUCGGAGCGUAAACUCCUUUUGUUAGGGAAGAAUAAUGACGGUACCUAACGAAUAAGCACCGGCUAACUCCGUG
rnacentral:rRNA from 1 species